UGGCUGAAAGUGAAUGGAGUAUCUAUAUCUUGCAUGCAGUAAUAACCCCCAAUAUCUUCAGCCUCAACCCUGCUGAUUUGCAGUGUGAAAUCUGUGUCUGAC